rnacentral:rRNA from 1 species
GCCUAAUACAUGCAAGUCGAACGCACAGCGAAAGGUGCUUGCACCUUUCAAGUGAGUGGCGAACGGGUGAGUAACACGUGGACAACCUGCCUCAAGGCUGGGGAUAACAUUUGGAAACAGAUGCUAAUACCGAAUAAAACUUAGUGUCGCAUGACACAAAGUUAAAAGGCGCUUCGGCGUCACCUAAAGAUGGAUCCGCGGUGCAUUAGUUAGUUGGUGGGGUAAAGGCCUACCAAGACAAUGAUGCAUAGCCGAGUUGAGAGACUGAUCGGCCACAUUGGGACUGAGACACGGCCCAAACUCCUACGGGAGGCUGCAGUAGGGAAUCUUCCACAAUGGGCGAAAGCCUGAUGGAGCAACGCCGCGUGUGUGAUGAAGGCUUUCGGGUCGUAAAGCACUGUUGUAUGGGAAGAACAGCUAGAAUAGGAAAUGAUUUUAGUUUGACGGUACCAUACCAGAAAGGGACGGCUAAAUACGUGCCAGCAGCCGCGGUAAUACGUAUGUCCCGAGCGUUAUCCGGAUUUAUUGGGCGUAAAGCGAGCGCAGACGGUUUAUUAAGUCUGAUGUGAAAGCCCGGAGCUCAACUCCGGAAUGGCAUUGGAAACUGGUUAACUUGAGUGCAGUAGAGGUAAGUGGAACUCCAUGUGUAGCGGUGGAAUGCGUAGAUAUAUGGAAGAACACCAGUGGCGAAGGCGGC